AUGGCUGGUUGGUUAGUAAUAGUAUGCUCCUUUUCUUUUUACCUGGGGCGUCUGUCGCCUGCCAACCGGUCUGAUUCUUAUUCUUGUGCCAAUGUAGGCAAGGCAUAUCACUGUGAACACACCAUCAUGAAUAAUUUUGCUAACGCCGUAUUUCAAGGACUUGACUCAUUGCAGUCGUUUAUGCUUUUAUGGAAUUCUGGUUUCCAUGCCGUUGUCUUGUCUCACAUUCUUGUUGAUUAUAAUCUGUAUUUGCUUGCCCUUUUACCAUUCAAACUCCCAACAAUUGGUUUUGAUAAUUAA
rnacentral:rRNA from 1 species